GGUGAGCACUCCUACGGGAGGCAGCAGUGGGGAAUAUUGCACAAUGGGCGCAAGCCUGAUGCAGCCAUGCCGCGUGUAUGAAGAAGGCCUUCGGGUUGUAAAGUACUUUCAGCAGUGAGGAAGGUGGAUAUGUUAAUAGCAUAUUCAUUUGACGUUAGCUGCAGAAGAAGCACCGGCUAACUCCGUGCCAGCAGCCGCGGUAAUACGGAGGGUGCGAGCGUUAAUCGGAAUUACUGGGCGUAAAGCGCAUGCAGGUGGUUUGUUAAGUCAGAUGUGAAAGCCCGGGGCUCAACCUCGGAAUUGCAUUUGAAACUGGCAAACUAGAGUACUGUAGAGGGGGUAGAAUUUCAGGUGUAGCGGUGAAAUGCGUAGAGAUCUGAAGGAAUACCGGUGGCGAAGGCGGCCCCCUGGACAGAUACUGACACUCAGAUGCGAAAGCGUGGGGAGCAAACAGGAUUAGAUACCCUGGUAG
rnacentral:rRNA from 1 species